ACGCGCCCCGGGGGGACGGCAGCCGCUCCGCGUCCCCGCGCGCGCUCCCGAGCGGCACCUGGGGCCCGCGCCCCCUUCUCCAGCCUGAAGGACUUGUGCUUCCCACUCCCCCACCCCGAGGGCUGCAGAUCCCGGCGGGACCGCGCAGUCCGGACCCCCCCGAGCGCCGGCGCUUUGUCACUGCGGGCAAGUCACGUCGCCUCUCAGAACCUCGGGGUCCCCUUCUGCUGAGUGCAGGUGACGGGAGGGAGCUCGCAGCGUCGUGAAAGGUGCUCAAGGAGACGAGAUGAGGAAACUAAGUCAGAAAGGCUAAAUGACUUCCCCAGUUGAGACAACUAGUGGAAAAAGAAGAAUCAGCCCUCAAGGACAAGAUGGUCACAUUAGGGAGACACCAACACCAAAAGUUAAAUAACAAUAAAACGUUAAUUAUUCAA